UUAGAAGGCUAGUAUCAGAAUUUAUCAUUUGAAUUUGGGGACUUAAGAAAUAAAAUGAACAAUAGAGAUUUCAUUGCAAUGGGACAAUUUUGAGCUUACUUAUAGUAAUGACAUAGAAACUGUUUUCUUGAAUUGGGUUAAAAAUGGAACUGUUUAAAUGAAGAAAUUUAUUGUUUCUACCUAGAGUCAAGAUGCAAUUUUGUGUAUGCA